GUUUGCAGGUAAACGUGUUGGCAGGUAAGCAUGUUGGCAGGUAAAUGUGUUUGCAGGUAAGCAUGUUGGCAGGUAAGUAUGUUGGCAGGUAAUCAUGUUGGCAGGUAAAUGUGUUUGCAGGUAAGUGUGUUUGCAGGUAAACGUGUUGGCAGGUAAGCAUGUUGGCAGGUAAACAUGUUGACAGGUAAACGUGUUGGCAGGUAAGCAUGUUGGCAGGUAAAUGUGUUUGCAGGUAAACAUGUGUGCAGGUAAACGUGUUGGCAGGUAAGCAUGUUGGCAGGUAAAUGUGUUUGCAGGUAAACAUGUUUGCAGGUAAACGUGUCGGCAGGUAAUCAUGUUGGCAGGUAAAUGUGUUUGCAGGUAAACAUGUUUGCAGGUAAACGUGUUGGCAGGUAAGCAUGUUGGCAGGUAAAUGUGUUUGCAGGUAAGCAUGUUUGCAGGUAAACGUGUUGGCAGGUAAGCAUGUUGGCAGGUAAAUGUGUUUGCAGGUAAGCAUGUUUGCAGGUAAACGCGUUUGCAGGUAAACAUGUUGGCAGGUAAGCGUGUUUGCAGGUAAACGUGUUGGCAGGUAACCCCAUGAGAGGUAAUGAUGACAUGAACAGCUGUUAAACCUGAAGUUUUGAGAAGUUGACUGAGACUUCAGUUGUGGUCCAAAGAUGGCUUCUGUCAGUGGUUUGAUUGUAACACUCUCUGACUGAUGUCGUCUCUGAUAAUCCUCUUUAUCAAAACAUUACAUUCCUCUGUCUGGGAAAGGCGCCAUUGAGCACUCACAGCACAUUCCUGUGAGGCACAGAGGACGUUCUGUCUCUGAUUGGACCCGUCUGGUUCUUUUCCUGUCUGACUGAACAUGUUCAAUGCGUCUCUCCU